rnacentral:pre_miRNA from 1 species
ACCCUGUUUGCAAUGGCACUGCAUGAAUUCACGGAUGCAAUGCGACAGACCGCGGAUCAUGCGGUAUCAUAGCUGACAGUGAGUG